AACGAACGCUGGCGGCAUGCCUAACACAUGCAAGUCGAACGAAGCCUUCGGGCUCAGUGGCGCACGGGUGCGUAACGCGUGGGAAUCUGCCCUUGGGUUCGGAAUAACAGUUAGAAAUGACUGCUAAUACCGGAUGAUGUCUUCGGACCAAAGAUUUAUCGCCCAAGGAUGAGCCCGCGUAGGAUUAGGUAGUUGGUGGGGUAAUGGCCCACCAAGCCGACGAUCCUUAGCUGGUCUGAGAGGAUGAUCAGCCACACUGGGACUGAGACACGGCCCAGACUCCUACGGGAGGCAGCAGCGGGGAAUAUUGGACAAUGGGCGAAAGCCUGAUCCAGCAAUGCCGCGUGAGUGAUGAAGGCCUUAGGGUUGUAAAGCUCUUUUACCAGGGAUGAUAAUGACAGUACCUGGAGAAUAAGCUCCGGCUAACUCCGUGCCAGCAGCCGCAGUAA
rnacentral:rRNA from 1 species